rfam:Neotoma lepida isolate 417 scaffold_13232, whole genome shotgun sequence.
GUGGCUCAGAGGUUAAGAGCACUGACUGUUCUUCCAGAGGUCCUGAGUUCAAUUCUCAGC